rnacentral:lncRNA from 1 species
CUCGCUAGGACUACCCUGGUCAAGAUUUUGCUAAAUUAAAAUAUGACUGUACACAGCUCCUGAACUGGAGUUGUCAAUCCUAUCUUGACACACGCACCGACAAGUCAAGUAUUUGACUACACCCAGCAGCCUUCCGUCACUGAAUUAGAAAUUCAGGUAGUCCAGUGCCUAAGUGCAGUGAGUUGCUUGCAAGUCACCAUGGCAAUCUCAGGUCGGAGGGACAGUUAUACCCAUAUCCCAUCGGAGCAAAUCUUGACAGCAGAAAAAGCUCUGGAGUCAGUCACAUUCAGUGCAGAUGUAUCCUUACAUCUCACCUGUAUGCCAUACCAGUGUCUCCACACUCCUUGGUUAAGAGGACAACUAACCCAUAUGGCACACAACGACCUAUGCUUGAUAAACAUUGUUGUCCUUGGUAACAAUGUAUCAUUUGGUCGCGAACAGGCUUAAGGACUAAACGAUAAAUCCUCCUUUGUCGAGUCUAAAUAGUCCUAAGGACUUCACCACAACACAGGAGUUCAUUAGAAGAUGAAACAAUUUAGGAUGAAAAAU